CGGCCCCUGGAACAAGACUGACGCUCAGGUGCGAAAGCGUGGGAAGCAAACAGGAUUAGAUACCCUGGUAGUCACGCUGUAAACGAUGUCGAUUUGGAGGUUGUCCCUUGAGGAGUGGCUUCCGGAGCUAACGCGUUAAAUCGACCGCCUGGGGAGUACGGCCGCAAGGUUAAAACUCAAAUGAAUUGACGGGGGCCCGCACAAGCGGUGGAGCAUGUGGUUUAAUUCGAUGCAACGCGAAGAACCUUACCUACUCUUGACAUCCAGAGAAUUUAGCAGAGAUGCUUUAGUGCCUUCGGGAACUCUGAGACAGGUGCUGCAUGGCUGUCGUCAGCUCGUGUUGUGAAAUGUUGGGUUAAGUCCCGCAACGAGCGCAACCCUUAUCCUUUGUUGCCAGCACAUUAUGGUGGGAACUCAAAGGAGACUGCCGGUGAUAAACCGGAGGAAGGUGGGGAUGACGUCAAGUCAUCAUGGCCCUUACGAGUAGGGCUACACACGUGCUACAAUGGCGUAUACAAAGAGAAGCGACCUCGCGAGAGCAAGCGGAACUCAUAAAGUACGUCGUAGUCCGGAUUGGAGUCUGCAACUCGACUCCAUGAAGUCGGAAUCGCUAGUAAUCGUAGAUCAGAAUGCUACGGUGAAUACGUUCCCGGGCCUUGUACACACCGCCCGUCACACCAUGGGAGUGGGUUGCAAAAGAAGUAGGUAGCUUAACCUUCGGGAGGGCGCUUACCACUUUGUGAUUCAUGACUGGGGUGAAGUCGUAACAAGGUAACCA
rnacentral:rRNA from 1 species